AAUGACGUCAAAUCAUCAUGCCCCUUAUGACCUGGGCUACGACACGUGCUACAAUGGGCGGUACAAAGGGUACGCGAACCCGCGAGGGGGAGCCAAUCCCAAAAGCCGCUCUCAGUUCGGAUUGCAGGCUGCAACUCGCCUGCAUGAAGCCGGAAUCGCUAGUAAUCGCGGAUCAGCAUGCCCGCGGUCGAAUACGUUCCCGGGCCUU
rnacentral:rRNA from 1 species